CCUGCCCCGGACUCUGGGAUAAGCGCUGGUCCUCUCUUAACUAAAACUGGAUAUGAGCUGCGAAGGCAUCUUCAGCAGUUGGAAAGAUUUUUUGGUCUGGGAUGGGCUCGCGGCCUAUCAGCUAGUUGGUGAGGUAACGGCUCACCAAGGCGUCGACGGGUAGCCGGCCUGAGAGGGUGACCGGCCACACUGGGACUGAGACACGGCCCAGACUCCUACGGGAGGCAGCAGUGGGGAAUAUUGCGCAAUGGGCGAAAGCCUGACGCAGCGACGCCGCGUGGGGGAUGACGGCCUUCGGGUUGUAAACCUCUUUCGCCAGGGACGAAG
rnacentral:rRNA from 1 species